rnacentral:rRNA from 1 species
GACGAACGCUGGCGGCGUGCUUAACACAUGCAAGUCGAACGGAAAGGCCCUGCUUUUGUGGGGUGCUCGAGUGGCGAACGGGUGAGUAACACGUGAGUAACCUGCCCUUGACUUUGGGAUAACUUCAGGAAACUGGGGCUAAUACCGGAUAGGAGCUCCUGCUGCAUGGUGGGGGUUGGAAAGUUUCGGCGGUUGGGGAUGGACUCGCGGCUUAUCAGCUUGUUGGUGGGGUAGUGGCUUACCAAGGCUUUGACGGGUAGCCGGCCUGAGAGGGUGACCGGCCACAUUGGGACUGAGAUACGGCCCAGACUCCUACGGGAGGCAGCAGGGGGGAAUAGUGCACAAGGGGCGGAAGCCUGAUGCAGCAACGCCGCGUGCGGGAUGACGGCCUUCGGGUUGUAAACCGCUUUCGCCUGUGACGAAGCGUGAGUGACGGUAAUGGGUAAAGAAGCACCGGCUAACUACG